GACGAACGCUGGCGGCGUGCUUAACACAUGCAAGUCGAACGGAAAGGCCCUGCUUUUGUUGGUUGCUCGAGUGGCGAACGGGUGAGUAACACGUGAGUAACCUGCCCUUGACUUUGGGAUAACUUCAGGAAACUGGGGCUAAUACCGGAUAGGAGCUCCUGCUGCAUGGUGGUGGUUGGAAAGUUUCGGCGGUUGGGGAUGGACUCGCGGCUUAUCAGCUUGUUGGUGGGGUAGUGGCUUACCAAGGCUUUGACGGGUAGCCGGCCUGAGAGGGUGACCGGCCACAUUGGGACUGAGAUACGGCGCAGAAUCCUACGGGAGGCAGCAGUGGGGAAUAUUGCACAAUGGGCGGAAGCCUGAUGCAGCAACGCCGCGUGCGGGAUGACGGCCUUCGGGUUGUAAACCGCUUUGGCAUGUGACGAAGCGUGAGUGACGGUAAUGGGUAAAGAAGCACCGGCUAACUACGUG
rnacentral:rRNA from 1 species